UACGUAGGGUGCAAGCGUUAAUCGGAAUUACUGGGCGUAAAGCGCGCGUAGGCGGUUAAUCAAGUCAGGGGUGAAAUCCUGAGGCUCAACCUCAGAAUUGCCUUUGAAACUGUUUAACUGGAGUGUCGGAGGGGAUAGCGGAAUUGCUAAUGUAGCAGUGAAAUGCGUAGAUAUUAGCAGGAACACCGGUGGCGAAGGCGGCUAUCUGGACGACAACUGACGCUGAGGCGCGAAAGCGUGGGGAUCAAACAGG
rnacentral:rRNA from 1 species